rnacentral:lncRNA from 1 species
GGCCUGUGUAUGGAGACAGGAGGUCUAUGGGAAGUCUUUGAACCUUCAGUUCAAAUUCGCUAUGGAGCUAAAACAAAAAAAAAAUAAAAACACCCUAAAAAUUCAAAAGCAGAAGAAAGGAGGAGGAAGAAGAGAAAUGGGGAGAAAGGAUCAGAAUGAAGCCUACUGGAUAGACAUAGAGAAAUAUGAGUCCUCCAGUGGAAGGACAGAAGUAAAACACAGCUGGCCAGCACUGUGCUAGUCAUCUAACUUAACCCUUACCUCCAUGUCCCUGCCCUGUUACAUCCGUCACUGUCAUCAUCCUCAUACAAAUGAGGAAAACAGAGCCAGCAGCUUGUUCUCUGGGAGCUAUGGGCUGUGGAGUUCCAGCCCAUCCUGGUGGACCUUGAUGGUUUAACUUCAAAGCAAGAGUGUAGUUGGUACCCACUGCACUAAGCAGAUAUGGUGGAUUUGAACCAUUGACUUCCCUCAGCAUGCAAACUGACCCGGAAAGAAUCUUGUAUUCAUUAGGCUCAUUGGGAGUGUCACUACUAGGUGCUAUGGCCUUGGAGGAAGUGUGUCUCUCUCUUUUCCUCCUGCCUGCCAAUUUGGAUGUAGAAUUCUCAGUUCCUUCUCCAGCACCAUGUCUGCCUGUGAUGAUAAUGAACAAAACCUGAACUGUAAUC